rnacentral:rRNA from 1 species
GGUAGUUUGACUGGGGCGGUCUCCUCCUAAAGAGUAACGGAGGAGCACGAAGGUUGGCUAAUCCUGGUCGGACAUCAGGAGGUUAGUGCAAUGGCAUAAGCCAGCUUGACUGCGAGCGUGACGGCGCGAGCAGGUGCGAAAGCAGGUCAUAGUGAUCCGGUGGUUCUGAAUGGAAGGGCCAUCGCUCAACGGAUAAAAGGUACUCCGGGGAUAACAGGCUGAUACCGCCCAAGAGUUCAUAUCGACGGCGGUGUUUGGCACCUCGAUGUCGGCUCAUCACAUCCUGGGGCUGAAGUAGGUCCCAAGGGUAUGGCUGUUCGCCAUUUAAAGUGGUACGCGAGCUGGGUUUAGAACGUCGUGAGACAGUUCGGUCCCUAUCUGCCGUGGGCGCUGGAGAACUGAGGGGGGCUGCUCCUAGUACGAGAGGACCGGAGUGGACGCAUCACUGGUGUUCGGGUUGUCAUGCCAAUGGCACUGCCCGGUAGCUAAAUGCGGAAGAGAUAAGUGCUGAAAGCAUCUAAGCACGAAACUUGCCCCGAGAUGAGUUCUCCCUGAGACUUUAGGUCUCCUGAAGGAACGUUGAAGACGACGACGUUGAUAGGCCGGGUGUGUAAGCGCAGCGAUGCGUUGAGCUAACCGGUACUAAUGAACCGUGAGGCUUAACCUUACAACGCCGAAG